UCUUACUUUAUUUCUUUAUCGUCUCGCAAGUCACAACACCCUUUUUCUUCUUUAUCUCUCUGUCUCGUUCAUUCCGCCAUUAACACUCCUGACUCCUGAGAGUGCAAUAAUUUCAGUUUGAAAUAAAUCCAUCAAGACAAAACCUUAGUUAAAAUUCGAUUAGAUUUAGCUAGGUUUAUGUUUUAUGUUACUCAUGUCGAUCGAUUUGACCUAAAAUCUGAAGGACGAUGAAGAAGAUGGUCCACAGUUGAUUCUACUGAUGCCAAAUUUCAUGCUUGUCCUUCUUCUUUGAUGUGGUAACUUAUUGUGACUUCUCUUUUUCUUCUGGGUGAAUUGAUAGUUGAAAUCGGGUGAAAGAUGGCGGCAAAAAAUAGGGAUUUUGUGAAAUUUAGAUAUCUAGACCUACAUAUCAGUUAGUUUUCAUCGAGUUUAGAACUGGGUUUUUCUUGCUGGUAUCUGAUAAGGUUAUGAAGUCCCCCAAGCAAUAAUAAGUAAGUCCUUCCAGGAUCACAAAUGCACGCACCAGCUGAGCAAUUCCUUACUCUGAGGGUGAUUGCUUUGAGAUUACAAUAUUUGUGCCAUUUGUGAUAACUGUGGCCGUUUUUUAUGAGAGGACUCCUGGCGUGUGUUUUAUACUUACUGAGAUAGAGGUGUGGAACUGGUAGUGAUUGGUGCAUAAAACUACAGAGUGCUUACAGUUAUUAUUUCUGGAGUUGUGAUCUUUGGGAGUUGGAACUAUUAUGCAAUAGGGGGUCAAAUUCUUUUGCCUGGAUUACCGAUAUAAAGAGCAGUUGCGUGUGAAAAAGCUGGUAUGUGUAUGCAGCCAAGAGAUAGAAUCUGGGAUUGAAGUGGAUGGUGGUGGGUUUGCUGGGAGGAAAGAUAGGAAGGAUGAAAGAAUUGUGAUUCUUACAUACAAAUUCAGAUUGUUUUGAAAUGUCGCUUGCUUGAUCUUUGGUCUGGUUUGUUUCUUCGUCGGCCCCCACUGCUGCAGCAGUCAUCUAGUUAUUUGCUAGGGAUUAAUAUAAUAUGAUUUAUGAAUCUAAUCAAGUUUUGUAUCUCAAUCUUAUAAGCAGAUUCAAUAGUCUACAGAACAUGUACCAAAAUUGAAACAAUGAUGAGAAUAAGAUGACUCCAUGAACUGAACUCUCAAAGAGAAGUAGCAACUCUCAUCAGAAUCUAAGAAUCAAACUCCAUGAAGAUAAGUUUUCACUAUCUUUUUCCACUUUUGGUUGAUAUAUCUGUUGCAUAUUUUAAAUAGUAACUUUAACCUAAGAAUGAUUCUUAACUGUCAUUCAUGAAUGAUUGAAUCAUGAUCUCUUUAAUGCUAGAACCAUGAGCUUAAUCUUGUAUGUUUGCAAUUAAAUCCUGCUAAAAUGCUAGAGAAAAAUUAUAUUGCACUAUAAUCACGAGCAUGAAUGUCUCACCUUAGCUAAAAGCAUGUUUGAGUCAUAACUUGAACUAUCUCAGAUCUAUAGAAGCAUGUUUAAACAUCUGCAUAAUGAACUAGAUGAUGAAAUUCGUUAUGCUAAUUUCCACCAUGCAUAUCUUGCUUGAAUAAAACAAGCCAGCCUCUUACAUCUUUACUGAUUAAUUAAGCAUGACUCCUAAAAUCAUCCUUGAUUGCCAACUCGCAAGAUUGGAUGCAUAAAUCUGUUGAGCAUCUUAUAGUGUUUUGCAUCUUAUAGUGUUUCUCAUAAGUAUAAUCACAAUUCUAUGAUCUUGUUGUGUAUGCAAAAGAAAAUUGCUUAUUAGUAUGAAUGAUGUUGCAAAUUCUUGAAUAUGAAACAUGCAUGAAGAUUCAACUCUUAAAGAGUAUGAUCUGUUUUUUCUUGUAAAAGAUAUAUCUGAUGAAGGAAAAUAUUCAAUGAAUUGCAGCAACUAGCUUUAUUUUCUUCGCAUUUAAAUUUUUAAUAAACUUCAUUGCCUAAAGGUCAGUCUAGCCAUGUAUCCUAAAAGCACAGCAUGAGCUUGGAACAGCUGUCGGCCUGCGAGUAGCACAAACAGAUGAGUGCAAACCUCUACUUGCUUAAAUACAUGAGUACAGCCUUUUAAAACAUAUUGAGCUGUUAACAUUAAGCUUCUGAAUGCUUUAAAUUACUAUGAAAAGUAUUUUCUACAAACAGUUGCACCAGUAGUUGGUAGUCACCAAUGCGUUUAAAAUAACAUUACUCCCUUAAUUUAGAUCUCGUGUUAUAGAGUGGCUAUUGUGAACUACAAGUUACUGAAAUAGAUAAAAAUAAUAUUGUUGACUUGUAUUUUGUAUACAGAACAUAACAUUACUCCCUUAAUUUAGAUCUCGUGUUAUAGAGUGGCUAUUGUGAACUACAAGUUAUUGAAAUAGAUAAAAAUAAUAUUGUUGACUUGUAUUUUGUAUACAGAACGAGAAAGGCUCUAACUCCCAGGAAAAUGUAGAAGGAACUAUGCAUGCAGAGCCAUGUUCAUAUCUUUGUUAAACUUUACAAUAUCUUAUUUAAAGUCUUCAUCCUCUUCAUCUUUUCUUUUGUUAAAGGUGGUUUCCUGAGUCAGGAGGAUAUCCUGAUAGGGAUAGUGCAUUUGAUUUGUAAAACUUAUGGUGUUGAAGACCUGUGGGCCCUAAUCUAUGGGCAGGUAUAUUAAAGACUAGGUAAUUUGUCAAAGAGAAUACUGUUUUACUGAUUCAAAAUGGUAUGAGGAUCAAGUUCUGGAUUGACAAGUGGAAUGGGGAUUCUAGCUCAUAUAUCUCUGGAACUAAAGCAGCUUAUGUCAGAGAUAUGAUUUGGAACUUGUGGUAUGGUAGCACGUCUGACCCGAGGUCAGAAGUUGGGUGUUCGAAUCACGCCAAGUUUACUCUUUCUUGUCUUACUUAGCGUAAAUCCAGAGGACCCAGUGAUCAAAAGCUACGUGCUUAACGAAUUAUUGGCAUGUAUAAAUUCUUAAUUGUGAGUUAAUUGUUGAAAGUUUUGUGUACAUUUCCUUUAAAUUGUGUUCAUUUUGCAUGAA